rnacentral:rRNA from 1 species
CCUACGGGAGGCAGCAGUGAGGAAUAUUGGGCAAUGGAGGCAACUCUGAACCAGCCAUGCCGCGUGCGUGAAGAAGGUUUUCGGGUUUGUAAACUCUUUCGAGUUUGACGUUAAUGACGGUAGCAUCUAAAGAAGCCCCGGCUAACUUCGGACCAGCAGCCGCGGUAAUACGAAGGGGGCAAGCGUUGUUCGGAAUUACUGGGCGUAAAGGGAGGGUAGGCGGUGUAGUAAGAUAGUGGUGAAAUCCCAGGGCUUAACUUUGGAAUUGCCAUUAUAACUAUUAGACUAGAAUGACAGAGAGGAUAGUGGAAUACCCAGUGUAGAGGUGAAAUGCGUAGAUAUUGUGUAGAACACCAGUGGCGAAGGCGAGUAUCUGGCUGUACAUUGACGCUGAGGCUCGAAAGCAUGGGGAUCAAACAGGAUUAGAUACCCGAGUAGUC